UUGAAAGUCCAUAAGGAAAUUCUCCAAUGUGAACCCAUGUCGCCCUUCGGGGCUUUAUAAACUCGUUUUGUUGUGAUUGAAUGUCUUAUGUUAUUCGUAACAAAAUA
rnacentral:misc_RNA from 1 species